UAUAAAUAGACAGCACACAAAAGCACAUGUCAUAUGAGCUACAUGUACAUGUACUUUCAAUCAUGAAGAUUGCUUUGAUACUAGCAGCUCUUGUACUGAUUAGUGAAGCUGUCAAUAUCAAGAAGAUCUAUUGUGGCAAACAAGAAUACGUCGGGAAUCCAGGAAACAAAUAUCCUCAUCUUCAUUGUGGGUCAAACUUUCUUACUCUUUCAAGAGAGAAAAAUCGGCACAUUAAUUUGAUAGAGAAGUGCAACACAAUUAAUGAAAUUCUUAAAGACAAGCUAAACUAUUAUGGAAAGGCUGCUAAUCCUAAGUCGAUUACUACUGCUCUAAAAUUGUACUUUGAAGACGUUUGCCGGAAUGAAAAUUCGCCAAGGAAAGAACUCUGAUGAUACAUGCACAUGACAUGUACAUUUAGAUCACAUGUUAGUAUAGAGAAGCCUGCAUGUCUAGGAGCAAGCAAAACUACAGUACAAGCAUAAAAAAUUAUACUCGGAGCUAAAAUUAUUUUAUAAUAUCUACAGAUGUAGGUUAUAAUAUUUUUGUAUGAAAGAAUCACAGAUUGUCAGUACAGUGAAGUCUGUCUACAAGUGGUCACCCUUGGUCAGACUAACAGUGGCUGUAAUGCACCUAUCAAUGUCAUCCCCA